rnacentral:rRNA from 1 species
AACGAACGCUGGCGGCGUGCUUAACACAUGCAAGUCGAACGCGAAAGGGACUUCGGUCCUGAGUAAAGUGGCGCACGGGUGAGUAACGCGUAGAUAACCUGUCUUCAUGUCUGGAAUAAUACGCCGAAAGGGGUACUAAUACCGGAUAUUCUUGCUUUUCAUAAGUUAUGCAAGCAAAGGUGGCCUCUGCAUAUGCUACUGCAUGAAGAGGGGUCUGCGUACCAUUAGCUAGUAGGUGGGGUAAUGGCCUACCUAGGCGACGAUGGUUAGCGGGUCUGAGAGGAUGAUCCGCCACACUGGCACUGGAACACGGGCCAGACUCCUACGGGAGGCAGCAGUGAGGAAUAUUGCGCAAUGGGGGAAACCCUGACGCAGCGACGCCGCGUGAGUGAGGAAAAGGCCUUCGGGUCGUAAAGCUCUGUCAAGAGGAAAGAAGUGUACAAUGGCUAAUACCUGUUGUAUUUGACGGUACCUCUAAAGGAAGCACCGGCUAACUCCGUGCCAGCAGCAGC